rnacentral:rRNA from 1 species
AUUGAACGCUGGCGGCAUGCCCUACACAUGCAAGUCGAACGGUAACAGGUCUUCGGAUGCUGACGAGUGGCGAACGGGUGAGUAAUACAUCGGAACGUGCCCGAUCGUGGGGGAUAACGGAGCGAAAGCUUUGCUAAUACCGCAUACGAUCUACGGAUGAAAGCAGGGGACCGCAAGGCCUUGCGCGGACGGAGCGGCCGAUGGCAGAUUAGGUAGUUGGUGGGAUAAAAGCUUACCAAGCCGACGAUCUGUAGCUGGUCUGAGAGGGCGACCAGCCAUACUGGGACUGAGACACGGCCCAGACUCCUACGGGAGGCAGCAGUGGGGAAUUUUGGACAAUGGGCGAAAGCCUGAUCCAGCCAUGCCGCGUGCAGGAUGAAGGCCUUCGGGUUGUAAACUGCUUUUGUACGGAACGAAAAGGCUCUUUCUAAUAAAGAGGGUUCAUGACGGUACCGUAAGAAUAAGCACCGGCUAACUACGUGCCAGCAGCCGCCGUAA